rnacentral:ncRNA from 1 species
UGGCGAGGCUUGAGAGAAAGGAAGCAAUAGCGAAAUCGUGGCUUGACGAACAAAAAUCAGAUAUUAAAGCGUACCAAGCGGUAAAGUUGGCAAGUGGUAACGAUGCACUCAAAAGUGAGCCGUAAUCUUGAUGUAUAAAUCUGGCGAGUAAACGAUGAGAGAUG